rnacentral:rRNA from 1 species
UACAGAGGGUGCAAGCGUUAAUCGGAAUUACUGGGCGUAAAGCGUGCGUAGUCGGUUAUUUAAGUCGGGUGUGAAAGCCCCGGGCUCAACCUGGGAAUUGCAUUCGAUACUGGAUAGCUAGAGUUCGGCAGAGGGAAGCGGAAUUUCUGGUGUAGCGGUGAAAUGCGUAGAUAUCUGGAGGAACACCGGUGGCGAAGGCGGCAUCCUGGACCGACACUGACGCUGAGGAGCGAAAGCCAGGGGAGCAAAGCA